CUCCACCUGCGUCCUCCUGGGACAGUGACUAGGGCGCCGCGCCCCUCGCGCCUGGCUCCCGCAGCUUGCGCUGGUCCAGAUCUUUGAGACACAGCAGUGAAAAAGCUGACUAAAACACCCACCCUACUGCCAAAAAACACCACUAACAUUCCUAAAGCACUCAAGUCUUCACACUUCAGUAUUUCCUCCUCCCUGGGUGUGCUGGAACUGGCUUGGAUCUGUUCAUGAGACCAACUGUGCACAUCUCUUCUCAGCUCUGUGUUCAGGAUCAUACUUCAGUGUUGUGCCCUGGACUUGAAACAAUUAGAGAUGACUAUAGAAAUAGGAUUUGGAGCUCUGGAAGGAAGCAUAAUAUUUCGUUGAUAUUGGGGGUAGUUUGUUUCAAUUUUAUAACUUAAGCCAUAUUGUUUUUUGCUGUGAUAAAUAACAUUUUUUUCUUUAAAUGUAUUUAUGAAGAUGCUGAGACCAUUUGUGAUCCUGUACUUCUUCCUGUGAUGAUUUGUUUAAUAUCUAUCUGUCUCAUUAGACUGAAUCAGAAGUGAAAAAUAUAGCUCCUGAGAAAUAAGGCAAAAAGAAUUUUAAGAAGUGAAAAUCAACAUAAUAAAAUGGUUUGUGACAAAAUUAGUUGUUACU